rnacentral:rRNA from 1 species
UUGGAGCUUGCUCCGAAAGAUUAGCGGCGGACGGGUGAGUAACACGUGGGCAACCUGCCCUGCAGAUGGGGAUAACUCCGGGAAACCGGGGCUAAUACCGAAUAAUCAAUACUUCCGCAUGGAAGUAUUCUAAAAGACGGUUUCGGCUGUCACUGCAGGAUGGGCCCGCGGCGCAUUAGCUUGUUGGUGGGGUAAUGGCCUACCAAGGCGACGAUGCGUAGCCGACCUGAGAGGGUGAACGGCCACACUGGGACUGAGACACGGCCCAGACUCCUACGGGAGGCAGCAGUGGGGAAUAUUGCGCAAUGGGCGAAAGCCUGACGCAGCGACGCCGCGUGCGGGAUGAAUGCCUUCGGG